rnacentral:lncRNA from 1 species
UAAUAUGCCACUAUAGUACAUGGAACAGGGAUGCGGGAACGGAGGGCGUCCAUCCAAAAAAUAAGAAAGAUUCAUUUCCAAUGACGAUCAAUAUGCCAAAACAAAGAUCGUGCUCUAUCUGUGGAACGAAGGGACAUGACAAAUUAACAAGAGUAAGAAGAAUCCAUAGAAAUCACAUGUAAUUUGGAUACAUAAACAACUAAAUUAGGGAAAAAAUUUACUCUUUUACAUCAUUAGGGAAAAACACUUAGAAAACAUAAGAAAAUCUCGGAAAGAAACCACAAGAUCCGGGCACAUUGCAUAGUGCAUAGUGCAAAAAACUCAAUAGUUCACACAUUAACAAAAAACGACUAUAAUAGCAAAAAACAGGGGGAAUAAUAGAUCAGAGUAUGAAAUUUCCAUAUGUGCACACAUAAGAGUAAGAGUAGAGAAGAAGAAAAAAGAAAUUAUAGAGGAAAUGAUAGACCAAUAAACCCAAUAGGAGGACAUUAUAGAGGAAAUUAUAGAGGGCAGAGUCUAAAAAUGUCGAGAAACCCAUAAACUAAUUUGCGAUUUUAGAGGGCAGAUACACCAAAUUAUAGAGGGCAGAUACACCAACUUGAAAGAAAAAAAACUAAUUUGCGAUUUUAAAAAUUUUAGGGAAGAAAUCGUUGGAGAAGAAAUCGUUGGCAGAGACUAUUUAGGAAGAAAUCGUUGAAAGUAUGGAAAAAAUACUAUUGGAAGAAUCAAAAAUAAUUUCGACGGAGUAUAGAUGAAGAAAAAAUGAACUACAAAAGAAACUGGACUUUAGGAUACUCACCUAAGCUUGGACAAUGGAGACCUCGCCGGUGCCUUCCCAUUACGAUCACCACUUGUGUUCGACAUGUUGUUGUUGAAGGCGACGACUUGAUCACUGAUCGGGAGAGGAAUGGGAGUAGAAAAACGCGCCGCUGCCUAAAAACCAAGAGAGAAAUAUCAACAAAUGGGAGGUGCUAGGGUUAGAGAUUAAAACUUUAGGGAAUCUAAAUUUCCACAACACCCAACCGUCCGCCGGUCAUUACAAUGUGCACUGUACUAUCGCUGGCGGUGUGUACUAUCGCCGGUCAGUCAGUACUUUCGCUGUCAUAAACUUAGCAUCAAAGGUGCAAUUUCACUCCAACGGUUACAAUUAAUAGGCAUUAAAUGGAUGGCUAAGAUUUGAGAUCGCAAAUAGUGCGCAUAUAGGCGUUCUCACUAGAAGCGCUCUGUAUAAAUAUAAUACAUGUCAAUUAAUUAACAAUAGAUACAAACUUGGGUAUAUUUUAUCUAUUUCUGAGAUUUUUUUAAUCUUUAAAUCUGAAUCAAUAAUUUUUGUGUGUUCAUGCAUAGCUAGUUUGUAAUGUAUGCUGGAAGAAAACAUUGACUUGGAUGAUUCUCUAUAAUGAAAACUUCAUCCCCAGUUAUUAGAUAGAUCUUCACAUACAAUUCAGAUCUCUUCAUCUUGUAUUUUCCAAACAGUCUCGGCCAUGAUUUCACAAACAUCUAUAAGCAGCCUUCUGUUUAUCCUUCUCUGAUAGAAGUUAUAUUUGAAAUAUAUGCAAAUAUAAAUAUGAAAUAUGGUUUAAGAAUUGAAUUAUCGAUGAAUGUAUGAUGAUAUGAUAAUGUAUUGUAAAUUGAUACUGUAGGAUGAUCGAUUGAUGAAGCGAUGAUCCACAGCUUGUUGAAGUGAGUUGAAUGUGAUUGAACUUGAAUCUGUGAUUCAAGUUGUUGUAUUGCGGAAGCGUUUGAUGAUUGGCAAUUCCAGUUGCAGAGUUGAUCAGACAGAGUAACACAAAGUCUGUAUUGUAAUACAGAGUGUGUGGAUGUGUGUGUGAUCGUGUGUUAAACUUAAACUAGGAUUAGAUAAGUUUAUAUAGAAGAACACCCAACGGCUAUGUUGGUUGGGUGUAUUUAAUUAUGGUAAUUAAUGUAUAUAGGAAUGUGUAAUAUGGAUUUGGGAAUUAAUAUAAGAUUGAAUAUUUGAUUGAUAUUUAAAUAUGAAAAGAUGUAAUGAGAAUGUGAAGAGUUGUGAUGAAAUAAGA